UACGGAGGGGGCAAGCGUUAUUCGGAAUUAUUGGGCGUAAAGAGCUCGUAGGCGGUGUGUCACGUCGGCCGUGAAAACCUGCAGCUUAACUGUGGGCUUGCGGUCGAUACGGGCAUCACUGGAGUUCGGCAGGGGAGACUGGAAUUCCUGGUGUAGCGGUGAAAUGCGCAGAUAUCAGGAGGAACACCUGCGGUGUAGACGGCUUACUGGACGGUAACUGACGCUGAGGCACGAAAGCGUGGGGAGCAAACAGG
rnacentral:rRNA from 1 species